UUAAUAAUGUACCUUUGAAAAGAAAGAAGAAAUCAUCCUCAAACUAUAUCAGAAUCGGGCAUUGUGAGGAAUGUUAUCACAGCAUGCCAAGCUGUAAAAGAAAUCCAAUAUUAUACCUGUGAAUACUGACGAGGAUGAAACAACAUCACAUGUUAAUCCCUGAUUGAGUGAUACUACAUCCUAAGGAAAUUGCCCAACCCCUCAAGAUACUUCCAAGUGUGGUUGUAUUUUAGUCUUCAAAAUGUCAUUUCACUAUUCUCUCAGGACAACUGCUUCAGGAUGAUAGGGAACAUGCUACUUGGCCAUGCAGAGAAGCUUGGAAUGAUCACAGAAGCUGACAGGGCCGCUGAUACUGGGGAAGGCUGGCUGCAAAAAAGUAAUGUCUGCUAAAAACAGAUCCUUCCAGUAUAAUCAGAGAAAAACUGCAGCACCCCAGAGAUAAGCGGAAUCAUACACCAGCAAAAGACUUUAGAUUAAUGAAGAAAGAGAGCUGAGGUAUUACAAAAGCUUCUUGGCUACCUCCUCUUGCCUCAGACAUAUGCCUGCCGACAGGUACUGAGUAUAUGACAU